AUUGAACGCUGGCGGCAUGCUUUACACAUGUAAGUCGAACGGUAACAGGUUAAGCUGACGAGUGGCGAACGGGUGAGUAAUGCAUCGGAACGUGCCCGGUCGUGGGGGAUAACGCAGCGAAAGCUGCGCUAAUACCGCAUACGAUCUGAGGAUGAAAGCGGGGGACCGUAAGGCCUCGCGCGAUCGGAGCGGCCGAUGUCAGAUUAGGUAGUUGGUGGGGUAAAGGCUCACCAAGCCAACGAUCUGUAGCUGGUCUGAGAGGACGACCAGCCACACUGGGACUGAGACACGGCCCAGACUCCUACGGGAGGCAGCAGUGGGGAAUUUUGGACAAUGGGCGAAAGCCUGAUCCAGCAAUGCCGCGUGCAGGAAGAAGGCCUUCGGGUUGUAAACUGCUUUUGUACGGAGCGAGAAGGUCUCCUCUAAUACAGGGGGCUCAUGACGGUACCGUAAGAAUAAGCACCGGCUAACUACGUGCCAGCCGCCGCAGUAA
rnacentral:rRNA from 1 species